AUAUUUUUUGCUCAGCUUCUCUGCCAAAUCUUGAACCGAGUAAGUGCAACAUCUGGGUGUUUUCACUAUGUCAUAUCUCUUGAGAUUCCGGACUUGGACCUAAUUGAUCACUACCCAAUUCUCACUGCUGUAGUUGGAAUUCUUCUAGCACUUUUAAAUGAUGAAUUAGAUUCAGAAAUUGAAAAAAAUCAUGUUCCUACUGUGGCGAAAGUAAUUUAUCUGAUCCUAGCUUCCAGCUCUGUUCCUUACAAUUCGUUCUUGGCAAUAACAAUUCGGAUCUUCGAUUUCGAGCAAAUGGUCGUAAAAAAGAAAGGAUAUUUUCCUUCCUGAGCUGUAAGAAGAUCAAAAUUUAUUCUCUCUGGAAACUUUCUUUUCAGUGUGGGGGAAGAUCAUGUUGACAACAAUCGAUAGUUGGAAAAGCGGGUGUAAAAAUUCUUGUUUUUAAAAAAACUGCCAUUUGGUGUAAAACUAACCUUAUUUGGAUUGCAUUUUGCAAAAAGGAACCACUAGCAUUGCAAUGAUGCUAAGAUUGUGCAACUUCAUCCUCUGCAAUAAAAUAGCGGAAAUCGUGAGAAACUAUGAAAUUUAGAUGGUAAUUUUUUGUCUUAAAUUUUCAGUUUUUAGCGAGUAAAAUGGAAACUAUUCAUGGAUAAUCGGGUAUUUUCCUCCAAGACAAAAGAAGUUGCACAAUCUUAGCAACAUUGCAAUGCUAGUGGUUCCUUUUUGCAAAAUGCAAUCCAUUUAAGGUGUGAUCUAUAAGAAAAUUUUGUUGGAAUAUCAAGUUAAAAUAUGCAAGUUUUAAUUGACUUUGGUAUAAUUAUUUAGGGUUUGGAUCGUUUAAGAGAAAAACAUUGCAUGUUUCGCGUCAUUCCUUGGAGUAAGAGAGAGACUUUGCUCCAAGAAAAUUUAAAGUUAUGAGGUGUAGAAAAUUCAUGAGCUUACAUGCAUUAAGAUUUUCUCAAUGUAAAUAUGUAGCUAUAUAAGUAACGUAAUUGGAGAUUAGAGAGGGAACUAAAAGGCAAAAAAAGAAUGUAAAAGUUAGAAUAUCAGAGGCAGAACCGCAUACAUAUUACAUUACUUCGCCCUUGAGAUGCUCCUCAUUACUAUACUGUAGCUGCAACCUUAACUGCUUCCUUAUUUGCCUACCAUUUCAUGAUGAGAGCUUAUAUUUGUAGUCACCCAAAAAAGGACACAAAUCUUUUUUCAUGGACUCAAUGUUCAGGAAUGAAAUAACUUGUUUCUUUCCAAAAGUUUUGCAGAAUCGGUCAUUUCUGCUUCUUUUCAAAGCAUUUUACAAUGACAAUGUUGGUAUCCAAUUACAAUAUGUUCACAUUCUCAUUUAAUGAAAUUCAGAAUCUGAUGAAAAUGCAAACACGAGGUCUGUUCGAUUAGAAACCGGAUUUUGGUCAUAACUAGCCCACAAUAGGUCCAAAUUAGGUUUUCUUGAACUUUCCUGAUAGCUGGAAAUAUACUUAAGAACGCUACGUUCACAAAUUUGAAGAAUCCUAAUUAGCUUCGUUGGUAUGUGGCUUGAGUAAGGCAACCUCAUGGGUGUUCUGCGAUUUUUAUGUUUGACCGAUUUUGCUUCUCUUUUUUCGGUCUUGCACUACAUUUUCAAACCCACAAAGAUGAUUGGAGUUUCGCCUCCAUAUCGUAGCCGUACACUCGAGUAUUGUCACCGAAAAUGAUCCUAUCCAAAAUGUAGGAUCAUUGUUAGAACGUUCAAGCAGCCAAAGGGAAAUCGAUAUUUGGUUGGAUUUUUGUUCAACGGACAACAAUCAAGGGACAAGUGUACCUGAAACUCGAUGCAUGUCUAUAUAUUCUAUCAACAUCGUAUGUACAAGAGCCUUCAGAAAUAUCGCACUGUUCAAAACGACCAUUUUCGAGCACUUUAGCCCCGCACUUCUUCCACGUGACAAAUGUUAGUUGCCAUUGAUGGUCGAUUUCCAUGCUCCUUAUCUUCAACGAACUCCUGUCCAGUUUUGAAUAUGUUAACCCACUCAAAACAGUGAGAUCAACUCAUACAAUGAUCUUGGUAAACUUUACUUAGCAUACCAAAAGUUUCGGUACAGGUAUUAUACCGAGUUUAAAACAUUUAAUGUUAAAUCUUUGCUCUAUCAGUGAUUGCAUGAUGAACAUCGCAGAACGCACCUGACUUACUCGUAUUCAAGAUGAUACAGAAUAAAUACUGAUCAAAGAAACAAAAUCUGUGAACGUAGCGUUCUUCAGUAUGUUAUCAGCUAUCAGUAAAAUUCAAGAAACCUAAUUCGGACGCAUUGUGGGCUAGUUAUGACCAAAUCCGGUUUCUAAUCUAACAGACCUUGUAAUAAUCUUGGUAAUGACAGAAUUACCUGCUAAAAAGUUCGUGGUUAGAAGUAAGUAACCAUUUUCAGGUCGUUUCUUAAUAUCAAUUAAUCUCUUUUCACUCAAAUUUUAGUUUUUCAUUAAUUUCUUCUUUCCGGUUUUUUUUUUUUUUUUUUUUUUUUUUUUUUUUUUUUUUUUAAUGUGCUGCAAUACAUUUUCAACUUUUACUGAAUCCAUAGUUGAUGAUUGUCUAAGUUUUACUGAUUAACAAGUGCAAUAUUGAAUCACUGACUUUGGCCAGUGGCUUUUCAGUUGUAAUACCUAUACAGGAAGUGCUCCCUCUUCCAAAGUUAGAAAAGAAAGAAAAUAAUAGGAUUUUCACUACAUAUCAGAUGUUAAGGUAUUUUUUUGUUUUUAUUUUAGAUCCUGAUGACAUUACUCCAGAAGAAAUCAAGAAAGUUCACAAAUGAUUCAUUUUCUUUCUCAGUGUUUACAAAAAAUGUCGGUUCAAAAGAAAUGAUGAUGAAGACAUGUGUCCGAUUUGUUAUGCCUAUCCAAUCUCAGCAACUUUAAACCUUGUGAUCACAAGUCUUGCAGGGUAAUAGUUCAUCCUCUAUUUUUGGCCUGUCUUUGUAAACAUCGUUUAAUUCCUCUCAUGAGGAACUGUUAACUGUGAAAACAGACUUACAAAUCGAUCAACUCAUCCGCUUGAAUGCUUUUUGACCAGGUACUCUGAUCUUGAUUAUUUGGGGACAGUCUUUUAUUUUGAUCAAUAGCAGGGCUAUCAUAAGGAUCAGAAAUUUUUUUCAUGGUGAAGGUUCACUGUUCCAAAAGCAAGAAAACAGCCCUCUUCAAAGCCUUAGAUCCGACAUAUUGAUAAUGGUUUUUGCCUGCCGCUUUUGACAGGCUGUAACUUUAAGCUGCUUUAAUGCUAACAAUGUGGCAGGGUUGGAGCGCUAAAGUGGAACUAAUACAUUGUUUCAGCUCUACAGAGUUUGAAAUUGUCAAGGCAGUCAACAAAAAUGGUAAUUUAUUGAAUGUGCAAACAGAAAUGAUUUGGCAA
rnacentral:lncRNA from 1 species